rfam:Ipomoea nil DNA, scaffold: scaffold3056, cultivar: Tokyo-kokei standard.
UUCGUUGUAGUCUAGUUGGUUAGGAUACUCGGCUCUUACCUGAGAGACUCGGGUUCAAUUCCCGGUAACGAGA